GCAGAGGGGAUCGGGAGCUGACAAAAUCAUUCCUUGCUGAGGUUGAGGAAGAAAAAUCAAAAGUCUUGGUUCACGUUUGCGAGGAGAAUGGCGUUGUCUUUGUCGCUUGCCCGCCGCAGCUUGGCCACUGGCCUCAAGAAUACCCUGCGUGUGCGCAGCGCGACCAGCAGUGUCACUGAGGCUGCCCGAGAUCUGAAUGCAGGCAAGGUUCCCACCUACGUAUCCGCGUACAAGCAUGGCAGAGUUCCCGAGAAGAAUGACUGCCUAGCAUUCAGAGAGCAAGCUCAAAUUGAGAUGGACUUGGUGAAGGCGCACGGUCUCCACGAGGCCUCCCCGUACAAGGGGUUCCAGAAUUUUUAUUGGUCCGUUUUUGCUGGUUGUGUCUUCAUGUACAUCGUCUGGUCUGUGUGGUUUAUGAAGGAAAUGCGUACUGACUACCUGACUGAGCUCCACAAAAAGCAACUGAACGCCAAGGCCAGAGGUGAAUUCUAAACUAUUGCGCUCUCUAUCUCUCCUCUUCAUCCGCUAGUCUCUCUAUUGUGUAUAUACAUACAAUGUGGAGUAAUUGUUGUUCACGCUAGUACUGGUAUGUUAUGUUCGGCUGUAUUUCGUUAUUUGCUUGCGGCCGGGAAUUGGUUUUAAGCAACUGAGCGGUGACUUGCUUCGCUGCUACUUAGCCUGUGCGUGUGUGUGUGUGUGUGUGUGUAUUCUCUUCACAUCGCAAUGCCCAUGUGCAUUUUCCAGCUUGAAUUAAUAUUCAUUAAGCCAUUUGUGUGUAGGAAAGAAAAAACUUUUGAAGCUAA